UACGUAGGGUGCAAGCGUUGUCCGGAAUUAUUGGGCGUAAAGAGCUCGUAGGCGGUCUGUCGCGUCGGAUGUGAAAACCCGGGGCUUAACCCCGGGCCUGCAUUCGAUACGGGCAGACUCGAGUGUGGUAGGGGAGACUGGAACUCCUGGUGUAGCGGUGAAAUGCGCAGAUAUCAGGAAGAACACCGGUGGCGAAGGCGGGUCUCUGGGCCACUACUGACGCUGAGGAGCGAAAGCGUGGGGAGCGAGCAGG
rnacentral:rRNA from 1 species